GGGUGAUUAGCUCUCAGCUGGGAGAGCACCUCCACUUACAAGGAGGGUCGGCGGUUCGAUCCGUCAUCACCCACCA
rnacentral:tRNA from 1 species